GCUCUUCCGCUCAGGAAAACCAAAAAAUGGGAGAUUUAGAAAGCUCAGAAACUUGAUCCGACUGAAAAGAAAAGAAAUGGUGGACCUUGAAAAUUACUUCAGGUUUUCUCACUGCAUAGAAUAUAG